AGACUGACGUGUAUCUUUACCAGUGUAAACUACAACGCCAUACACACCAUCGCUCGCAAGGACAGUAUUUGCCCAUAAUGUAUGAUCAACGGAUAUAGGUCGUUUCUGGUUGUUCAAUGUGAAAGUUCCGUAGAAGUGAUGAACAGACUUAAUAGGAGCAUCCGCAUGAACAAUGCCUUCUGUAUGCUGAUUUGAGCAAGGUAUCCUGAGUUUCCAGUCGGUCUCACCAUCAAGCUGAUCCGUACGAAUAAAUGCUUCAUUUCCUACUGUUGUCUCCAACAAGAUCAUAUCAGCAGGAAUACGUUGGUCUUUAGCAAUGUAAACAACAUCUCCUGCCUGUAUGUUUUGAGCUGCACAAGGGGAAUCAUUAACAGUAUAUAUCUCAUUGUUAGCAUAUGAAUCUCUCCUUCGCCGCUUUAAAUCAUCAACUGCUUCUUUUGUGAGAGUAAUUAAUAAAACAAAAAUUAACG